UUGGUUAAGUUAGAAAGGGCGCACGGUGGAUGCCUUGGCACUAGGAGCCGAAGAAGGACGGGACUAACACCGAUAUGCUUUGGGGAGCUGUACGUAAGCGUUGAUCCAGAGAUUUCCGAAUGGGGGAACCCACUAUCUUUAGUCGGAUAGUAUCCUUACGUGAAUACAUAGCGUGAGGAAGGCAGACCCAGGGAACUGAAACAUCUAAGUACCUGGAGGAAGAGAAAGAAAAAUCGAUUUCCUGAGUAGCGGCGAGCGAAACGGAAAGAGCCCAAACCAAGAAGCUUGCUUCUUGGGGUUGUAGGACACUCUAUACGGAGUUACAAAAGAAAGUUAUAAAUGAAGCGGUCUGGAAAGGCCCGCCAAAGACGGUAACAGCCCGGUAGUUGAAAUGGCUUUCCCUCCAGAGUGGAUCCUGAGUACGGCGGAACACGUGAAAUUCCGUCGGAAUCCGGGAGGACCAUCUCCCAAGGCUAAAUACUCCCUAGUGACCGAUAGUGAACCAGUACCGUGAGGGAAAGGUGAAAAGCACCCCGGAAGGGGAGUGAAACAGUUCCUGAAACCGUGUGCCUACAAGUAGUUAGAGCCCGUUAAUGGGUGAUAGCGUGCCUUUUGUAGAAUGAACCGGCGAGUUACGAUUUGUUGCAAGGUUAAGCGGAAAAAGCGGAGCCGUAGCGAAAGCGAGUCUGAAUAGGGCGCAUAAGUAACAGGUCGUAGACCCGAAACCAGGUGAUCUACCCAUGUCCAGGAUGAAGGUAAGGUAAUACUUACUGGAGGUCCGAACCCACGCACGUUGAAAAGUGCGGGGAUGAGGUGUGGGUAGCGGAGAAAUUCCAAUCGAACUUGGAGAUAGCUGGUUCUCUCCGAAAUAGCUUUAGGGCUAGCCUCGAGGUAAAGAGUCAUGGAGGUAGAGCACUGUUUGGACUAGGGGCCCUUCUCGGGUUACCGAAUUCAGAUAAACUCCGAAUGCCAUGUACUUAUACUCGGGAGUCAGACUGCGAGUGAUAAGAUCCGUAGUCGAAAGGGAAACAGCCCAGACCACCAGUUAAGGUCCCCAAAUAUAUGUUAAGUGGAAAAGGAUGUGGGGUUGCUUAGACAACCAGGAUGUUGGCUUAGAAGCAGCCACCAUUGAAAGAGUGCGUAAUAGCUCACUGGUCGAGUGACCCCGCGCCGAAAAUGUACCGGGGCUAAACAUAUUACCGAAACUGUGGAUGAACCUCUUUAGAGGUUCGUGGUAGGAGAGCGUUCUAAGGGCGGUGAAGUCAGACCGGAAGGACUGGUGGAGCGCUUAGAAGUGAGAAUGCCGGUAUGAGUAGCGAAAGAAGGGUGAGAAUCCCUUCCACCGAAUAUCUAAGGUUUCCUGAGGAAGGCUCGUCCGCUCAGGGUUAGUCGGGACCUAAGCCGAGGCCGAUAGGCGUAGGCGAUGGACAACAGGUAGAGAUUCCUGUACCAGUGCUAAUUGUUUAACCGAUGGGGUGACACAGAAGGAUAGGGAAUCGCACGAAUGGAAAUGUGCGUCCAAGCAGUGAGUGUGAGAAGUAGGCAAAUCCGCUUCUCGCGAAGCAUGAGCUGUGAUGGGGAAGGAAAUUAAGUACGGAAGUUCCUGAUUUCACGCUGUCAAGAAAAGCCUCUAGGAAGAGUAGUACUGCCCGUACCGCAAACCGACACAGGUAGAUGAGGAGAGAAUCCUAAGGUGAGCGAGAGAACUCUCGUUAAGGAACUCGGCAAAAUGACCCCGUAACUUCGGGAGAAGGGGUGCUCUAUUAGGGUGCAAGCCCGAGAGAGCCGCAGUGAAUAGGCCCAGGCGACUGUUUAGCAAAAACACAGGUCUCUGCAAAACCGUAAGGUGACGUAUAGGGGCUGACGCCUGCCCGGUGCUGGAAGGUUAAGAGGA
rnacentral:rRNA from 1 species